ensembl:lncRNA
AAUAUAAUUGAUAUUUAGACAAAGUCAAAAUUGAUCUCAUGCGAUUUUCUUAAUAUGUUAGGCACGAAAGGGUUAAACUUCAUAUAUCAAUUCAGAAAAAAAACAUGUUUCAAAAGGGAUCAAGCACUUUUUUAUGCAUUAAGGGAAAAAACACAUCAUGCAAAGGAAUGUAGGACCCACCCCCCCACCCCCCCCCCACCCCAAACACUGGAGUAAUUACACAAUGAGUUAUACAAUUACAACCAGGUUGUAACGCCAUGGAAGGAAGGAUAAUAACUAGUAUAAAUAAAUCGGAGUGAAACAAUCCCGGAACACGAGACAAAAGGCUUUCUGUGUGUUUCCUUUUCGCGCCGGAGCCGGUUGGAGAGGAGCGAGCAGCCGGCUGCUCCCCACACGCGGCAUGUCUCCAUGCGUUGGCCGCUCUCGUUCUUUCACACCUCUCUGGUGUGAGCAGGCCGGCGCUGCCAUGCUGCCAUCCCCCUCACGCUGCCACCCGCACGUGAUGCCCGCUGUUACCGUGGCAAUUAGCGCAGGGCCCAAAUUAGCCCACUUCGCCCCUGCACAGACUUAGCCUGGUCUCCAUGGCGAGGUCAGAGGCUGUGCUGUGACCCUGCCCAUGCCGGGCAGCUGAGGUAAUGCAAUCGGCCAGAUAGUCACCAUGGCAACCACAGCGUGACCUCACACUCGGGGUCGACCUAAAGGUCAUCGCACAGACAUGAUUUCGCCAUGCAACGUUGUAUCAACAGGACCUUGGCAAUGACAAAUGACUGCCAGUGGAGGAUACCGUGCAUUUCCAUUUGAUACUUCUCUCUCUCUCUCUCUCUCUCUCUCUCUCACACACACAUACACACACACAUCCUGUAGUAUCAUUUUACUAUUCACCUCUAGACCUUUAUUCGCGCAUGUCACAUUUGCAUCUAAAAGCAUUCAUCUAGUUAGAACUCUAGAGCUUCACCUAGCUCGAGAUCUCAUGUUUCAGAUCAAGUGUUGUGGUGUUUUUUUGUUUGUUUGUUUUUUAUUAUACGCCUUUAAUACACCGACUGUACAA